UGUUUUAUACCACUUUGUUUGAUGACUGUAUGAGAGCAAGAUAUUCCUGUAUGACCUCAGAGAAAAAGGUGUGUGCAUCUGGAAGGGAGGUCUUUGUGUGGCAGCAUUUCAGCUGUGUACAAGCCAUGUAGAUACACGGUGCAAAAUUAAAUACACCCAGACACACAUACCCCUCUCUUUAUUACCGCCAAUCAUUUUUCACAUACACAAGUGUCUAAGAGUGCACGUAUUGGUGCACUUUCAAAAAAUAAAAUAAAUAGGUAACUCAUGUUACUGAUAGUAGUCAUGGUGUUGAUGUACUUACAUUAACUAGGAAAUUGCAAGUGAGAAAAGGAAGUGUGUGUUAAUUUCUACCACUCACCACUGAAUUCAGGUUUCCUUGUGGUGCAUCCUUCUCGUGGCUUCAGCAGAUUUUCAUCUCAGUGGCCUGUCUGUGACUUUAGCUGCUCUGCUAUGAUACCACUUCACACCUUGUGAUCAUGGACGUCAGAUAUUCUGAGGACUAUUAUAACCCAAGUAACGACAGAUAUAUUGGGGGACCAUAUUCAACCAUUUGUCCUCCUGUUUAUUAUGAUGGCCUGAUGAUAAGCAUCUCCCUCGUCGCUGGUGUGUGUGUAAGCCUGCCAGCUUUGAUUUGGGCUCUUCAUGUUCUUUACACUCUCCACAAACAAGGAGGCCAAAUUUCAACCUUCAU